rnacentral:rRNA from 1 species
GAGUUUGAUCCUGGCUCAGGAUGAACGCUGGCGGCGUGCCUAAUACAUGCAAGUCGAGCGAACAGAUAAGGAGCUUGCUCCUUUGACGUUAGCGGCGGACGGGUGAGUAACACGUGGGUAACCUACCUAUAAGACUGGAAUAACUCCGGGAAACCGGGGCUAAUGCCGGAUAAUAUUUAGAACCGCAUGGUUCUAAAGUGAAAGAUGGUUUUACUAUCACUUAUAGAUGGACCCGCGCCGUAUUAGCUAGUUGGUGGGGUAAUGGCUUACCAAGGCAACGAUACGUAGCCGACCUGAGAGGGUGAUCGGCCACACUGGAACUGAGACACGGUCCAGACUCCUACGGGAGGCAGCAGUAGGGAAUCUUCCGCAAUGGGCGAAAGCCUGACGGAGCAACGCCGCGUGAGUGAUGAAGGUCUUCGGAUCGUAAAACUCUGUUAUUAGGGAAGAACAAAUGUGUAAGUAACUGUGCACGCCUUGACGGUACCUAAUCAGAAAGCCACGGCUAACUACGUGCCAGCAGCCGCGGUAAUACGUAGGUGGCAAGCG